rnacentral:lncRNA from 1 species
CUCCGCGCGCUCAGCGUCAGCGGCGCCCAGCUGCGACGCCAGCUGCUCACGCUCAGCCACCAGCGACACCAGCCGGCUGUCCACGUCAGCCUUGGAGGUGCCAGCCGCCUCCAGCUCCGAUCGCAGCUUGAGGCUGGACACGUCGGAAGCCUCGAGGCGGCUCUCCAGCUCGGCCUUGGCGGCCUCGGCAGCGGCAAGCUGCGAGUUGAGGCUGUCGCGCUCAGCGGACACGGCCGCCACGCGGGACUCCAGGUCUGCGUUAGAGCUACCGGCCGUCUCCAGCUCAGACUCAAGCUGCUUACGGCUAGCCUCCACCGCGUCCAGGCGAGCCAACAGCUCAGUGUGCGCGUCCUCCCUGACUGCAAGCUCCGCGGCUAUGGACUUCUGCUCCUUGGUCGCCUCCUGCAGACGUUGCGUCAGCGCCUCCUCGCUGGCCUUGGCAGCGCUCAGCUGUGCGUCGCCCUCGGCGCGCGCGGACUCCGCAGCCUCCAGGCGAGACUGCAGGUCAUCACGAGACACCUCCGCCGCCGCCACCUGGGCCAGCAGCGCCGCACGCAUGGCCUCCGCCUCCGCCGCUGCGGUCUUGAGCUCCGCUGCGGAGGACUCCCGCAGCUCAGCCAGUGCCUUGUCAGCCGCCUCCGCCGCCGCGUGGGCCGCCGCCAGCUGCUUGUUAGCGGCCGAAAGCUGCGAAUCCAACGCGUCAACGACUGCAGAGGAGCGGGAAGCUGCUGCUGCGGUCGUGGCAAGAGCGGCGGCCAGCUUGACCUCCAGCUCCGCGACAUGGCUAGCCGCGCGCUGGACCGCCUCAUCACGCUCCGCCUGAGCAGCCGCCAGACGGCCUUCUAGAAUGGCAACCUCGGAUGCCGAGCGGUCUUGGUGGUGGCUCGUCUCGGACCGCGCAGCGGCCAGCGAGACCUCGAGCGCGGCGAUGGACGCAGCGGCACUCUCGGAGGCCUUGGCGUGCGCGGAGCGAGCCGCAGCAAGCUCCGACUCCAGAGACUCCACAUGAGCGGUGAAGGUCUCGGAUGACUGCGCGUUCUCUGCCUGGGCUGCUGCCAGCUGUGCCUCCAGAGACUCAAUUUGUGACGCAGCCAGCUUGCUGGCCUGCUCUGCCGCGGUCUUGGCCUGUGCCAGCUGUGCUUCUGACACCGCCAGGCGCUCCUGCAGCUGCUCACCAACCUCCUCCGCGGCCCCGAGCUGCUUCUGCAGCUGCUCACGAGCCGCCUGCGAAGAUGACAGCUCCUCCUGCAGGCGACGGACCUCCGCAGCAGAGCCAGCAAGGGACGCUGUGAGCUCCACAACGGACGCAUCGAAAGCCGCAAGCUUCGACUCCGCCUCUGCCUUCGCAGACUCCACGGCAGCCAGCUCCGCCGACAGCGAGUCGCGCUCAGCCGAAACCGACGCCAGGCGAGACUGCACCUCGGCCUUCUCCGAAGCGGCAGACGCCAGCUGCGACUCAAGCUCGGCACGAGCGACGUCUGCAGCCUGCACACGGCCCUCCAGCUCCGCGCGCUCAGCGUCAGCGGCGCUCAGCUGCGACGCCAGCUGCUCACGCUCAGCCACCAGCGACACCAGCCGGCUGUCCACGUCGGCCUUGGAGGUGCCAGCCGCCUCCAGCUCCGAUCGCAGCUUGAGGCUGGACACGUCGGCGGCCUCGAGGCGGCUCUCCAGCUCGGCCUUGGCGGCCUCGGCAGCGACAAGCUUUGAGUUGAGGCUGUCACGCUCAGCUGACACAGCUGCCACGCGGGACUCCAGGUCUGCGUUGGAGGUACCGGCCGCCUCCAGCUCAGACUCAAGCUCGGCACGAGCGGAGUCCGCAGCCGCCAGGCGGGUGGCGAUGUCGGCCUUUGCCUUCUCCGCUGCCGCAAGCUUAGCGGCCGUGGACUUCUGCUCAGCGGCUGCCUGUGCGAGCUGCUCGGAAAGCUGACGCUUGUCCGCCUCCGCAGCCUGCAGCUGCGAGAUGCUGUCGGCACGUCCCUGGUCCGCGGCUUGCAGGCGACUUUGAAGCGCCUCCUUCACUGCAGCGGCAGCCGUCGCCUGUGCCAGCAGGUCUGCGCGCAGCGCAUCGUCUGCAGCUGUCGCCAGUGCAAGGCGCUCCGCGGCUGCUUGCCGUUCCUCCGCGAGCUCCUUCCGCAUGGCCUCGAGCUGCAUUUCCAGCAAUGCCGUUUGCGCCACGGAGCGCUCCACCUGCUGCAUGCCGCCAGCACGGAUAGAUUGCAGCUCUGCCUCCAGUCCAGCAACGGUGGAUGCUGCGCGCCGUGCCGCCUCCGCGCUGGUAGCGCGUGCGUACGUGAGCUCCUGCUCGAGCUCCGCCACCCUCGAGGCAGCAGACUGCUGCUGCUCCUCGAGCUCCAUGCGCGCCUUCUGCAGCUGCUCUUCCAGUGCCGCGGUCUGCUCUGCAGACUGGCGCGCGUGCUCAGCGCUGAUACUGUGGGCCGCCGCAAGCUGCCCCUCGAGUGCAGCAACACGCGCUGCUGAAUCGGCUGUGUACUCCUGCAGCGCGACCCUUGCCAUCUGCAGCUGUGCCUCCAACUCGGCCGCCUGCAGCGCCGCACGCUCGGCCUGCUCGUGGCUGUCCGCACGUGUAGAGGCCAGCAGCGCCUCAAGCGCCGCCACUUGCACCGCAGACUGGCGCGCCUGUUCCGCAUUCGCCUCCUGCGCCGCUGCCAGCUCUGACUGCAGGCGCAUGUUCUCCGCCUUCAUCUGCGCCAGCUGCGCCUCCAGCAUCUCGCUGUGCGCGGCGGCCGAGGCGGCCUCCAUGGCCAGGCGGUCCUGCUCUGCAAUGGCAGUGGCGAGCUGGGCCUCCAGGGAGUCGACCUUGGCGCCGCGGGCGUCCGCGUCCGCACGGAGCUCCUCCAGGCGGGCCUGCAUCUCCUUGAGCGACUGCUGGUGGGCAUCCACGGUGCUGGCCGCCUCCUGGGCGCGCAGGACGGCAACAGUGGCCGUCUCCUCCUGCAGCGCGGCCUCGCGCUCCUGUGCCGUCUGCAGCUGCUGCUGAAGCGCGCGAACGCUGGCCUGCUGCUUGGCAACCUCCGCCUCCGCGGCGUCAAGGCGGGUCUGCAGCUGCUGCCGCGUGGUCUCCAGGCGCGAUGCCCGGUCAGAGGCACUCUCGCGAGCCGCAGCGGCCGCAGCCGCAGCAGCGGCCGCCUCAGCGGCAGCCACCUUGUGUGAGGCCUCUGCCGCCGCCAGGGCACGCUGCGACGAAACCACCUCAGCCUCAGCCUUCUUGCGGGCCUCUUCCGAGACGUUCAAUCGCACACGCAGCUCCUCGCGGGCCUGCUCCAAAGCGCUCUGCUCGGCACGCAGCUCUGACAGAGCCGCCACAGAGGUGGCGAGCUCUGAGCGAAGGUCGCGCAGUGCGGCGUCGUCGGCUUGCACCUGCGCCUCCAGCUCCGAGCGAGCAGCCUUGGCAUCCGCCAGCUGCACUUGCAGGGACUGCAGCGAGUCUUGCGCGUCCUGCAGCUUCGCUGCCAGCUCGGCCUUGGCGGCCUCGGCAGCGACAAGCUGCGAGUUGAGGCUGUCACGCUCAGCUGACACGGCUGCCACGCGGGACUCCAGGUCUGCGUUGGAGGUACCGGCCGCCUCCAGCUCAGACUCAAGCUGCUUGCGGCUAGCCUCCACCGCGUCCAGGCGAGUCAACAGCUCAGCGUGCGCCUUCACCUCCUCUGCAAGCUCCGCGGCUGUGGACUUCUGCUCCUUGGUCGCCUCCUGCAGACGUUGCGUCAGCGCCUCCUCGCUGGCCUUGGCAGCGCUCAGCUGUGCGUCGCCCUCGGCGCGCGCGGACUCCGCAGCCUCCAGGCGAGACUGCAG